GAUGAACGCUGGCGGCGUGCUUAACACAUGCAAGUCGAACGGAAAGGCCCUGCUUUUGUGGCGUUCUCGAUAGGCGAACGGGUGAGUAACACGUGUGUAACCUGCCCUUGAAUUUGGGAUAACUUCACGGAACUCGGGCUCAUACCGGGGAGGAGCUCUUGCUGCAUGGUGUGGGUUGGAAAGUUUCGGCGGUUCGGGAUGGUAUCGCGGGUUAUCAGCUUGUUGGUCUGGUAGUUGCUGACCAAGGCUUUGACGGGUAGCCGGCCUGGGAGGGUGAACGGCCACAAUGGGACUAAGAGACGGCCCAGAAUCCUACGGGAGGCAGCAGUGGGGAAUAUGGCACAAUGGGCGGAAGCCUGAUGCAGCAACGCCGCGUGCGGGAUGACGGCCUUCGGGUGAUAAACCGCUUUCGCCGGUGACGAAGCGUGAGUGACGGUAAUGGGUAAAGAAGCACCGGCUAACUACGUG
rnacentral:rRNA from 1 species